UAAGUUUUCCUGCAUAUUUCCCAAGUAUUUGGUAGUUUUUCCAAGCUUCCAUUAUUCAUUUGGACUUCAUAUAAGAGACACAGAGGUCGCCAACCUGUUGAUAAUAUAUUAAAAACGAAAAUAAUAAAAAUGUAAACAAUCUAGAUUUUUCGUUUUAUUUUUAAAUGAUCCAAAAUAAAUUCUGCGUAAGCGAAUAAUAAUAUAAAUUGUUGUUCAGAGGCACAUGCCAGCAAACAAUCAAUAUUUAUGUAUUACAAUAUACCUAUACUUCAAAACAUACUGCAGUUUUCUUCCUGUUUUUACCAAAUUUAUCAUUCCAAAAUAAAAUUGUAUUGCACUCUUCUUGUUUUAGUAAAUAAGAGCACAUUACGAUAUUUUUCAAAAAUAGCAAUAAGUUUAUUCAAAAUAUAAAUUAUGGUGUUAUAAAUUAAUAGCCCAUUAUCUCUAACGAGAAAAUCCAAAGUCUGCUUCCGUGACAUAAUACCAGAGACCGUGUGGUCUUUGAACAGCUUGUUUAUGUUUUAAAAUUCAGGUGAAAUGUAAAAAUCGUUUGACGCAAAAUGUAUUCUGACGACUCUAACAUUAGUGACGUAUCUUCCAAACGAGUAUAUAAGCGACACCGAAACGAAGUCGGUCAAAAUUCAAACUGUUGUCUAAUCGAAUACAUCCUACAAGUUCAGUGUUAGUUGUCGUGAAAUUUUUUAAUCAACGCAAAAUGUAUACGAAUCCGUUCAGCCGCACUCAUUGCCAAGUUCGCCAAGUUAUUGACCGAUUUUUGGAGAAGACCCUCAAAGUUGGUACCAAGAAUGGAUCCAAGCGAUAUGGUUCGGACAGUUCUUUGACUUCUUCGUCAUCGAAAAGUAGCACCUGGAGUUGCAGUUCCAAAAAUGCCUGCAACAACAUCUUAAAAUAAGGCUCUUAGUUACGCAUAACCCUGGAAUAAGAUUAUGGUGUCCAAAGUGGCCCAAUGAAAAAAUUUUUGCUGUUGUGAAAUGAAGAAUCAUUCGUGAAGAACGUUUUUGCGUUUUGCCUUUGACGAUUUGAAAAAAAAUCAUUCGCAGUCAAAAACAAGCUGAUAUGCUUCAAGAUUAUUUUAUUUACCGUGUAAAUAAACACUACAUGAAUAAAAAUAAAGAAAUUGUUUCUUAAAA
rnacentral:lncRNA from 1 species